rnacentral:rRNA from 1 species
GACGAACGCUGGCGGCGUGCUUAACACAUGCAAGUCGAACGCUGAAGACCUGGCUUUUGUUGGGUUGGAUGAGUGGCGAACGGGUGAGUAACACGUGAGUAACCUGCCCUCUUCUUUGGGAUAACGCCCGGAAACGGGUGCUAAUACUGGAUAUUCACUGAUCUUCGCACGGGGGUUGGUGGAAAGGUUUGUUCUGGUGGGGGAUGGGCUCGCGGCCUAUCAGCUUGUUGGUGGGGUGAUGGCCUACCAAGGCUUUGACGGGUAGCCGGCCUGAGAGGGUGACCGGUCACAUUGGGACUGAGAUACGGCCCAGACUCCUACGGGAGGCAGCAGUGGGGAAUAUUGCACAAUGGGCGAAAGCCUGAUGCAGCGACGCCGCGUGAGGGAUGGAGGCCUUCGGGUUGUAAACCUCUUUCGCUCAUGGUCAAGCCGCAACUGUGGGUUGUGGUGAGGGUAGUGGGUAAAGAAGCGCCGGCUAACUACGUG